CUGGCAUUGCUGCUACCUGCUCUAGGUGGCUGAGGAGUGGGACCAGGGCACCUUCAAACUCAGCCCCAUUGAUGCUGACAUCUACACAGCCAACAAGCACCACCUGAAGGCUGCUGGCCAGAUCCCGCAAUACAGCCCCACCACUUUCCUGGCCUCCCCUCACCACCUUGCCUGGGGCCACGUUGAACAUUAGCGCCAUCAUUCUGUUUGCUUCGCCAUUGGCAGACAGGAGGAGCUCAUUGGUGAAACCGCAGGGAAGCCACACACGGGACGGAGCUGGAACAACCAGGUGGUCACGGACCUCAGGUUGUAGAUGUGCAGACCUGCUUCACACUCUCAGGCCUCCUCUGGAAGCUCAUCAGGACUGUGGUGGAUCAGGCAGAGGUUCAAGCAAUUCCAUCCAGUGCCUCAGCCUCCCAAGUAGCUGGGAUUACAGGGAACGUGACAUCAUCUUCCCCGGGUACAUACACCUGCAGAGGGCCCAGCGCAUCCACUGGAGACACUGGAUUCUGAGGAAAUCCUGCAAGGGCAUAAAACUGAAGUAAAUGGAUUGGAUGGAACUGGAGUCAAGAGUGACUCCUGGAUUUACAUAACAAGGCAUCUCACAACCAUGGCUGGCAGAUGCCAAGGGGAUGUGUGAGAUGGCCCAGCUCCAGGACAGGCAUGUGGCACCCAUGAAACUCAACUGGAGGGAAGUUGGGGAGAGUCUCACAGCGCUGGACAAGCCAUCGGAUGGCACCGCCCUAGGGACACACCCAGUGGUGGGGACCGGGAUAUGGAGGACCUAAGGCAAAGGGUGGCUUAAAACGUGACAGCGAAUCAGCCACUGGGGAAAUGCAAGAGGGGAUUUGACACCUGGGCCAGGUGUUCCAGGACAGCAGUUUCCAAAAGAUUUUCCAUCCAAACUUCCAGCAAGAAGUAGAUCUUCCACUGUUACCCAGAGCGUAUCUGCGCAUUCAGGUAACUGAAGCAACACUCCGGGAACCGUCACCAUCCCUCCUGUGGAACAGCUCGCUCUCCAGCUGGAGUCAGCUCUAGGCGGCCUCACUUUAACAAAAUGUUAGCUGCAGCCAUUGGAAUGAAUUUCACACCCUCUAUGAGUUGCAGUGCAAAAUUCGAAGAGUGGCAGUUGAAGCUCAGUAUCAUCAAGGAUUCAUUUAUUUUAUGAUGGUUAACAUUUUCCAAGCCACACUAACCAGGCCAGUUAGUAAUAAUAAUAAUGAUAAUCGGGCGGUCGCGAUGGCCCACACCUGUA